AGUGGCGGACGGGUGAGUAACGCGUGAGAAUCUGCCUUGGGGUCGGGGACAACCACUGGAAACGGUGGCUAAUACCGGAUAAGCCGAUUGGUGAAAGAUUUAUUGCCCGAAGAGGAGCUCGCGUCUGAUUAGCUAGUUGGUGAGGUAAGAGCUCACCAAGGCAGCGAUCAGUAGCUGGUCUGAGAGGACGAUCAGCCACACUGGGACUGGGACACGGCCCAGACUCCUACGGGAGGCAGCAGUGGGGAAUUUUCCGCAAUGGGCGAAAGCCUGACGGAGCAAGACCGCGUGAGGGAGUAAGGCUCUUGGGUUGUAAACCUCUUUUCUCAGGGAAGAAGCUCUGACGGUACCUGAGGAAUCAGCCUCGGCUAACUCCGUGCCAGCAGCCGCGGUAAUACGGAGGAGGCAAGCGUUAUCCGGAAUUAUUGGGCGUAAAGCGUCCGCAGGUGGCGAUUCAAGUCUGCUGUCAAAGCACGGGGCUUAACUCCGUAAAGGCAGUGGAAACUGAAUAGCUAGAGUGCCGUAGGGGUAGAGGGAAUUCCCGGUGUAGCGGUGAAAUGCGUAGAGAUCGGGAAGAACAUCGGUGGCGAAAGCGCUCUACUGGACGGCAACUGACACUCAGGGACGAAAGCUAGGGGAGCGAAUGGGAUUAGAUACCCC
rnacentral:rRNA from 1 species